UUUCACCACCUCAUUGAGUUAAUGGAAUGUUUAUUGUUUCCUUAAUUUUUACUUAAAGGAGAACAUUUAAAAAGAAAGUUAGAAUUGUUAAGCUGUUUAAAAUUGUUAAUUGUUUAAAUAUAUGUACUGUAUACUUUAUGUCAAUUUCAAUUAUUUUAUGUGCAAUGUGAAUUUAGUUGAAAAGAAAAAGAGAUGUAUCUCAUCAUUGAGCUACAGAUUUAAAUUGAAACUCAUAAUUGCUCUGACACUGUCAAUUGACAGGUCAGGUUUUUUCUUUUCCUUAGACCUUGUUUCAAUUGGCCUUUGUGUCAGAUUGGAUAUUGGACCAACUGUUCUGGAUUUUGAUGGCGAGCUAACCACUUGGAUCUAGAUUGAGAUAACUUUCCACGUAUAUAUAUUUUUUUAACCCUUCUUCAUACACAUCAUCACUAUUGACGUGUCACUUCGUCAUUCUUCGUGCGACGCCUUAUCAGAGGGGGCCGAGCUUCAUUUAGUAGUAGCCGAAGACGGCACAUGCUCAUGUCGGAUUUAAGCUUGGAUUUACUCACGUUUGGAUUUAACUGCGAAAGUUGUACAGGACAGCUUGUCUCAGGAAUGAUUUGUCCGAGGAUCCAAGAGAGUCACUCCGUUCCUGAUGAUUCAGCCUUUUGGAAGUCGCAAUGGGGUAACGAGGUUUGGUACUCGCAUGGUACAGUGAGAUCAUCUGGAGUGACUACAGUAAAAGAUUUAUGUGGCUGCAGCCAGACCCCUCUCAAUGGAUUCGACGCAUGUGACAUCAUCACUCACGCGACGAGCGUCAUUUGAUACGCGCCCCAGAACAUUGUGACACCGACUGCCGA